rnacentral:rRNA from 1 species
CAGUAGCCGCGGUAAUACGUAGGUCCCGAGCGUUGUCCGGAUUUAUUGGGCGUAAAACGAGCGCAGGCGGUUAGAUAAGUCUGAAGUUAAAGGCUGUGGCUUAACCAUAGUACGCUUUGGAAACUGUUUAACUUGAGUGCAAGAGGGGAGAGUGGAAUUCCAUGUGUAGCGGUGAAAUGCGUAGAUAUACGGAGGAACACCGGUGGCGAAAGCGGCUCUCUGGCUUGUAACUGACGCUGAGGCUCGAAAGCGUGGGGAGCAAACAGGAUUAGAUACCCCAGUAGUCCCUGUCUCUUAUACC